rnacentral:sRNA from 14 species
UUGACAAGCCUAGAGACUGAAAUUGUCUAUUCAUAGAACAGGUUCAGCGUGGGCAGCAGCACUGAUUGAUUACCGUGUUGUCCUGCUGGUGUUUCUCAAACCUGACCUCAAGAGGCUGCUCCUGAGACUGAGGAGUUCAGCCAGCAGUCCAGUCCUUUUUCUCU